rnacentral:rRNA from 1 species
ACGGCGAGUGAAGCGGCAAAAGCUCAAAUUUGAAAUCUAGCACCUUCGGUGUUCGAGUUGUAAUUUGAAGAUGGUAACCUUGGGUUUGGCUCUUGUCUAUGUUCCUUGGAACAGGACGUCAUAGAGGGUGAGAAUCCCGUCUGAUGAGAUGCCCAUUCCUAUGUAAGGUGCUAUCGAAGAGUCGAGUUGUUUGGGAAUGCAGCUCUAAGUGGGUGGUAAAUUCCAUCUAAAGCUAAAUAUUGGCGAGAGACCGAUAGCGAACAAGUACAGUGAUGGAAAGAUGAAAAGAACUUUGAAAAGAGAGUGAAAAAGUACGUGAAAUUGUUGAAAGGGAAGGGCAUUAGAUCAGACUUGGUGUUUUACGAUUAUCUUCUCUUCUUGAGUUGUGCACUCGUAUUUCACUGGGCCAGCAUCGAUUCGGAUGGCAAGAUAAUGGCAGUUGAAUGUGGCUUCACUUCGGUGGAGUGUUAUAGCUUCUGCUGAUAUUGCCUGUCUGGAUCGAGGGCUGCGUCUUUUGACUAGGAUGCUGGCGUAAUGAUCUAAUGCCGCCCGUCUUGA